UACAGAGGUGCCAAGCGUUAGGCGGAAUCACUGGGCUUAAAGCGCGUGUAGGCGGGUCGUUAAGUGUCCGCGUGAAAUCCCACGGCUCAACCGUGGAACUGCCGGGCAUACUGGCGAUCUUGAGGCAUUCAGGGGCGAGCGGAACAAAUGGUGGAGCGGUGAAAUGCGUAGAUAUCGCCUGGAACGCCGACGGUGAAAACAGCUCGCUGGGGGUGUGCUGACGCUGAGACACGAAAGCCAGGGGAGCGAACGGG
rnacentral:rRNA from 1 species